GAUGAACGCUGGCGGUGUGCCUAAUACAUGCAAGUCGAGCGAACAGACGAGGAGCUUACUCCUCUGACGUUAGCGGCGGACGGGUGAGUAACACGUGGAUAACCUACCUAUAAGACUGGGAUAACUUCGGGAAACCGGCGCUAAUACCGGAUAACAUGUUGAACCGCAUGGUGCAACAGUGAAAGACGGUCUUGCUGUCACUUAUAGAUGGAUCCGGGUCGCAUGAGCUAGUUGGUAAGGUAACGGCUUACCAAGGCAACGAUGCGUAGCCGACGGGAGAGGGGGAUAGGCCACACUGGAGGUGGGACACGGACCUGAGUCCUACGGGAGGCAGCAGUAGGGAAUGGGACGCAGUGGGCGAAAGCCUGACGGAGCAGCGCCACGUGAGUGAAGAAGGUCUUGGGAGCGUAAAACUCUGUUAUUAGGGAAGAACAAAUGUGGAAGGAACUGUGGCCGGCUUGACGGUACCGAGUCAGAAAGCCACGGCUAACUACGUG
rnacentral:rRNA from 1 species